AACGAACGCUGGCGGCGUGUUUAAGACAUGCAAGUCGCACGGAGAAUAUGAAUAGCUUGCUAAUUGUAUUCUUAGUGGCGCACGGGUGAGUAACACGUGAGUUACAUGCCUCACAGAGGGGAAUAGCCCGCCGAAAGGCGGAUUAAUACCCCCAUGGUCCCGCAAGGGUAAAGCGGCUUCGGCUGUCGCUGUGAGAUUGGCUCGCGUCCUAUCAGCUUGUUGGUAAGGUAACGGCUUACCAAGGCAACGACGGGUAGCUGGUCUGAGAGGACGAUCAGUCACACUGGAACUGAGACACGGUCCAGACACCUAC
rnacentral:rRNA from 1 species